UACGUAGGGGGCUAGCGUUGUCCGGAAUCAUUUGGCGUAAAGCGCGUGUAGGCGGUUCGGUAAGUCCGCUGUGAAAGUCGGGGGCUCAACCCUCGAAUGCCGGUGGAUACUGUCGGACUAGAGUACGGAAGAGGCGAGUGGAAUUCCUGGUGUAGCGGUGAAAUGCGCAGAUAUCAGGAGGAACACCAAUUGCGAAGGCAGCUCGCUGGGACGUUACUGACGCUGAGACGCGAAAGCGUGGGGAGCAAACAGG
rnacentral:rRNA from 1 species